rnacentral:rRNA from 1 species
CCUACGUGAGGCAGCAGUGGGGGAUAUUGCACAAUGGGGGGAACCCUGAUGCAGCGACGCCGCGUGGGUGAAGAAGCGCCUCGGCGCGUAAAGCCCUGUCAGCAGGGAAGAACAUGACGGUACCUGAAGAGGAAGCCCCGGCUAACUCCGUGCCAGCAGCCGCGGUAAUACGUAGGGGGCAAGCGUUAUCCGGAGUUACUGGGUGGAAAGGGGGCGCAGACGGCGGUGCAAGCCAGGAGUGAAAGCCCGGGGCCCAACCCCGGGACUGCUCUUGGAACUGCGUGGCUGGAGUGCAGGAGGGGCAGGCGGAAUUCCUGGUGUAGCGGUGAAAUGCGUAGAUAUCAGGAGGAACACCGGUGGCGAAGGCGGCCUGCUGGACUGCAACUGACGUUGAGGCCCGAAAGCGUGGGGAGCAAACAGGAUUAGAUACCCUGGUAGUC